rnacentral:rRNA from 2 species
UGGGGAAUAUUGCACAAUGGGCGCAAGCCUGAUGCAGCCAUGCCGCGUGUAUGAAGAAGGCCUUCGGGUUGUAAAGUACUUUCAGCGGGGAGGAAGGGAGUAAAGUUAAUACCUUUGCUCAUUGACGUUACCCGCAGAAGAAGCACCGGCUAACUCCGUGCCAGCAGCCGCGGUAAUACGGAGGGUGCAAGCGUUAAUCGGAAUUACUGGGCGUAAAGCGCACGCAGGCGGUUUGUUAAGUCAGAUGUGAAAUCCCCGGGCUCAACCUGGGAACCGCAUCUGAUACUGGCAAGCUUGAGUCUCGUAGAGGGGGGUAGAAUUCCAGGUGUAGCGGUGAAAUGCGUAGAGAUCUGGAGGAAUACCGGUGGCGAAGGCGGCCCCCUGGACGAAGACUGACGCUCAGGUGCGAAAGCGUGGGGAGCAAACAGG